rnacentral:rRNA from 1 species
GUGAACGCUGGCGGUAGGCCUAACACAUGCAAGUCGAACGGCAGCACAGUAAGAGCUUGCUCUUACGGGUGGCGAGUGGCGGACGGGUGAGGAAUACAUCGGAAUCUACUUUUUCGUGGGGGAUAACGUAGGGAAACUUACGCUAAUACCGCAUACGACCUACGGGUGAAAGCAGGGGAUCUUUGGACCUUGCGCGAUUGAAUGAGCCGAUGUCGGAUUAGCUAGUUGGCGGGGUAAAGGCCCACCAAGGCGACGAUCCGUAGCUGGUCUGAGAGGAUGAUCAGCCACACUGGAACUGAGACACGGUCCAGACUCCUACGGGAGGCAGCAGUGGGGAAUAUUGGACAAUGGGCGCAAGCCUGAUCCAGCCAUACCGCGUGGGUGAAGAAGGCCUUCGGGUUGUAAAGCCCUUUUGUUGGGAAAGAAAAGCAGCAGGUUAAUACCCCGCUGUUCUGACGGUACCCAAAGAAUAAGCACCGGCUAACUUCGUG